rnacentral:lncRNA from 1 species
GUCUCGACAUAGUCUCAUAUUGGUGUGCUCUGUGCGAUAUAGGCGGAUCACUGAUAGAUCCGAGGGAAAGAAAAGGGUGGACAAAGAUCAGCUUCAAUAGACAAACGGUACAAGCUGCCAAGAGCCCAGAUCGGUGAAUCUGGGAGGUAAAAUUUCGUAUCCUUGCAAGUGGAAUUAUUGUAGAUCUGGUAAUAAUAGCUGUACUCAGUUCUAUGGUGUAUGGAUCUAUGAUUUAAUUGUGCUUCCUCCAUGCAUCGCACAACUGAGCUGUAGAAAAUUAACUGCUCUAAAUUCUGUUUCUGUGCUGGAUCUGCAACAAUCACCCCCAAACUUGCAUCUGUGAAUGACUUUUUAUGUUGACUGCUUUAAAUUUCCAGCAUAGUGUAGAUGUGGUUGAUGUGAACGUUAGACUUGCUGCUGGGUGCAGGAUUCCAGCAUAGGACGCGCUUUAUUUUCCACGUUCGCAACCUGCAAUUAACCAAUAUGCGUUAAAAAAAAUAAAAUAAAAAUAAACUGGGUAAAUAAAAUCAGCCUGCAAUUGUCCAUUUUUUGAAUUUUCGUUUUUUUUUAAUUAUUUUUAUAUGUAUUUAUAUAUAUAUAUAUAUAUAUUUUUUUUUUUUUUAUGUAUGUUUUAUUUUAUUUUAUUUUUAUUUUUUUAUAUUUAUAUUAAAGAGAAAAUCAAACGAAAAUUAAAAUGAGGAAAGAGUUUAGAAAAAUUGGGUUGCCUCCCAAUUAGCGCUUUAUUUUAAGUCUGUAGCUAGACGUUGCGGAAGUCCGGUGGCUAGAUCACCGGUGCCUUCAGAGUCAAAGACUCGUUUGCGGUAUCAAAGGGUGACUCUACGUAUGGUUUCAGCCUGUGACCAUUCACCUUGAAUGUGUUGCCUUGAGCCUCAUUAGAUAUUUCAACUGCCCCAUGAGGAAAGAUUUUAGUAACCGAAUAUGGCCCAGUCCAGCGAGAUUUCAAUUUCCCUGGAAACAACUUUAGCCUUGAACUGAAUAGCAACACCUUUUGCCCUGGCUGAAAUUCUUUCCGUAAAUUUUGACUAUCAUGAAACGUCUUAGUUCUUUCCUUGUAGAUGCGAGAACUUUCAUAAGCACCCUGACGAAUUUCCUCCAGCUCAUUGAGCUACAAUUUACGUUGUUCCCCAGCUGAGUCAUAUGAAAAAUUUAACUCUUUAAUUGCCCAAUACGCCUUAUGUUCAAGCUCCAUAGGUAAAUGACAUGCUUUCCCAUAAAUGAGUCGAAAUGGUGACAUCCCAAUAGGAGUUUUAUAAGCUGUCCUGUAGGCCCACAAUGCAUCAUUUAAUUUUAAACUCCAAUCUUUACGUGUUGAACCAACUGUUUUCUCCAAAAUGCGUUUUAAUUCUCUGUUUGAAACUUCCACUUGACCAGAUGUCUGUGGAUGAUAAGGUGUGGCCACACGAUGAUUAAUCCCGUAUUUUGCCAACAAAUUAGCAAAUGGUUUAUUAAUAAAGGGCUUCCCCCCAUCACUAAGAAUAACGCGUGGAAUUCCAAAACGCGGAAAUAUAACCCCUUGGAGGAACUUCAGGACCACUGAUCCCUGAUUAGUUGGUGCUGCAAUGGCCUCGACCCAUUUAGAAACAUACUCCACAGCAACUAAAAUAUAUUGGUUCCAAUGGGAAGAUGGAAAUGGUCCAUUCCUCCACUGCUGGAUAUGUAAUGCAACUGGGUAUAUUUGUGGUAUGGGCAGUCAGUGAAUCACCCAGGGGCAGACCUGCCUCUGGAAUUACAAACGCCAUUUUUUCGUUGUUGUGCAGGUCCCCAGAAAAGACUGAUUGCAGAAAUGUCUCCUGCAGAGGACGAACCCGCUGCAAAUUUUGCACCCUGCGUUUCCUCCCUAAAUUCUGCUCAAGUUCUGGAUCAAGUGGAAUCAAUUUCUGCACUGUUGAACGGGUGCUGACCAUGCACAGAUUUCUGAAAUCUGCACUGCUGUACUGUUGUAAUCUGUAAAAAUAAAAU